rnacentral:misc_RNA from 1 species
GAUGAAGAACGUAGUGAAAUGCGAUAAGUAAUGCGAAUUGCAGAAUCCGUGAGUCAUCGAAUCUUUGAACGCACAUUGCGCCCUUUGGUAUUCCGAAGGGCAUGCCUGUUCGAGCGUCAUUAUCACCCCUCAAGCCCCGGCUUGGUGUUGGGCUCUCGGUGGUCGUCUCCGACCACCCGUCUCAAAGAUAGUGACGGCGUCCCAGAGGGAAUCGGUACGAGGAGCUUUCACGAGCAUGUACGCGGGACGACUCUGCGGGCGACGGUCUUAUUUACUUUAUAUACAAGUGUUGACCUCGGAUCAGGUAGGAAUACCCGCUGAACUUAAGCAUAUCAAUAAGCGGAGGA